rnacentral:rRNA from 1 species
GACGAACGCUGGCGGCGUGCUUAACACAUGCAAGUCGAACGGGUCUGCCCUGUUUUUUGCGGGGUGGGUCAGUGGCGAACGGGUGAGUAACACGUGAGUAACCUGCCCCUCACUUCUGGAUAACCGCUUGAAAGGGUGGCUAAUACGGGGUGUUCUGGCUGUGCCGCAUGGUGUGGCUGGGAAAGAUUCACUUUUGUGGUGUUUUGGUGGGGGAUGGGCUCGCGGCCUAUCAGCUUGUUGGUGGGGUGAUGGCCUGCCAAGGCUUUGACGGGUAGCCGGCCUGAGAGGGUGGGCGGUCACAGUGGGACUGAGAUACGGCCCAGACUCCUGCGGGAGGCAGCAGUGGGGGGUAUUGCACAAUGGGCGGAAGCCUGAUGCAGCGACGUCGCGUGAGGGAUGGAGGCCUUCGGGUUGUGAACCUCUUUCGCCGGUGAAGAAGGUCCUGCUCUUUGUGGUGGGGUUGACGGUAGCCGGGUUAUGAAGCGCCGGCUAACUACGUG